UCAAGACGGAAAGUCCUCAGGACGGAAAGACCUCAGGUCGGAAGGUCUUCAGGUCGGGAGGUCCUCAAGACGGAAAGUCCUCAGGACGGAAAGACCUCAGGUCGGAAGGUCUUCAGGUCGGGAGGUCCUCAAGACGGAAAGUCCUCAGGACGGAAAGACCUCAGGUCGGAAGGUCUUCAGGUCGGGAGGUCCUCAAGACGGAAAGUCCUCAGGACGGAAAGACCUCAGGUCGGAAGGUCUUCAGGUCGGGAGGUCCUCAAGACGGAAAGUCAUCAGGACGGGAAGUCCGCAGGUCGGGAGGCCCUCAGGCCGGGAAGUUCUCAGGUCGGAAC